rnacentral:snRNA from 1 species
CGAUACGGUUACGCAAUGUAGUC